rnacentral:rRNA from 1 species
GACGAACGCUGGCGGCGUGCUUAACACAUGCCAGUCGAACGGAAAGGCCCUGCUUUUGUGGGGUGCUCGAGUGGCGAACGGGUGAGUAACACGUGAGUAACCUGCCCUUGACUUUGGGAUAACUUCAGGAAACUGGGGCUAAUACCGGAUAGGAGCUCCUGCUGCAUGGUGGGGGUUGGAAAGUUUCGGCGGUUGGGGAUGGACUCGCGGCUUAUCAGCUUGUUGGUGGGGUAGUUGCUUACCAAGGCUUUGCCGGGUAGCCGGCAUGAGAGGGUUACCGGCAACAAUGGGACUGAGAGACGGACCAGACUACUACGGGAGGCAGCAGUGGGGAAUAUUGCACAAUGGGCGGAAGCCUGAUGCAGCAACGCGGCGUGCGGGAAGACGGCCUUCGGGUUGUAAACCGAUUUAGAAUGUGACGAAGAGUGAGUGACGGUAAUGGGUAAAGAAGCACCGGCUAACUACGUG